AAUGCCUUAAAGAAAGGACUGAUCUCCCCUGAAGAAGAGAGAAUUCUGCCUCUAGAUUGCUUACAAUUUGAACUGGAACAUCAGCUGUUCUCUAGGUCUUAAGUCUGCUGCUCUAACCUACAAAUUUUGGACAUGCCAAUCUCCACAGUCACAUGGGCCAAUUCCUUAGUUUCUCUGGAGAAUCCUGACUAAUGUAUGCAAUGUCUUUAUUUCAUCCUCAUUCUUAAAGGAUAUUUUCAUCAGCAACACCACACCCUCCUGAUCACCAUAGCUUUAUGCAACAACAAGAAACAAAUUUAUUAGCUAACCUAACCACUAAUGACGCAAGAGACAAUUCUAAGGACUUUCAAAACAGCAAAGUAGGAGCAGCUGCUACCUCUAGGGAUGAGGGAUGCAAUUGUCCAAUUAUUGGUGAAAUUGUCAUUUCAUGCUAUUGGCUAUUUGAAAUUCCUCCUCUAAUUUCAGAAUAAAUCACUGAAAUUGACAUCGGCCAGUCUGAAUUUCAAGAAAUUACCUGCUGAAGACAAGAGGGAUCUCUUCUUCAGAUUUGCAGUCUGGGGAAGACACAGCCUCUACUGUACUUUAGAACCUGAGAUAUGGUGGUGGAGGGAGCCCUGGGUCGAGUGGUAAGAUUCACCCUUAGGUUAGUAUUGACGUAAGGUGACGAGGAGCUGUAGACAAAAGAUUGUAACCAUAAGAACUUCAUAGUUUUUGUAUUUUCACCGAGCUUAUAUUUGGUGUGUUUUUUGUCUUUUCUUUAUGAUUAUCAAUAAAAUGCUUGAAAGGAGAUGAGGUUGGGGAAUAAUUUUUGGGAAUACCACAAAAGACACUUUUGUGAUGGAAAUCCUUAAAAAGACACAAUCCAUUACCUCAUUGGGUUCAAAAGGCAAUUGUGAACUACUGUGGAGUUUGGAAAGAAGCAAUGAGGUAAUCAAGGAUACUGUUGACAAUCUAGCUUAUCCUAUGGAUGGAAGGAAAUUGAAACUAAUGGAGGCGAGGCUGGUAAAACAAUAGGGUUUGAGACAAUUCUGUGGCAUUAGAAAUGAAAGAGGAAGGUGAAUCCGGGAGACGGAGCUUGCAGUGAGCUGAGAUCGCGCCACUGCACUCCAGCCUGGGCGACAGAGCGAGACUCCAUCUCAAAAAAAAAAAAAAAGAAAGAAAGAAAAGAAAGAGGAAGUAAUAAUCUGUGAAAUUUUUCCUUAGGAACUUAUUGGCAAUUUAAAAAUGAAUUUGUUAAGCCAUGCUGGUUCUGACCCAAAAGCCAUUCCCCAGCCUUCCUCACUCCCCUCUUUCACUACUGGCAGAGAUUGUCUCUCAUUUUACAAGCUGAAAAUGCCAGAUGCUUGCUUUUACAGUCUUCCUUACACCCAGAGCAUGUGCAUAUGUUUAAACGGUCAAGAAGAAGUCAUAACAUGGGUGUCUGGGAGAGCUUUUAUCCCACAAAAACAACACUUCACUCAAAAAACAAACCAAACAAAGAAAAAUUCUCCUUCCUGCCAUUGGAUGUGAGGCUCAGACCUCUAGUAACCAUUUUGUGACCACAAAGCAACAAGCCUGAGGAAAAGUCCUACACGCUGAGCAACAGGCAGAAAUAUUGCCAUCGCUGAGUUGCAGAAACAAAUCUAGAGAUGUUUUGCUUCUGUAAUUAUUUUUUAUGGGAGAUUACAAGUGGGUUUACUGUUCACUUUUCAAAUCUUAUUUCUCUAUGAUGUUUAGCUUGGGUAAAUUUUACCUUAAAUCCACUUUUUUAUGUAAGGUAACAUAUUUGUCGGUUUCAAGGAUUAAGAUGUGGGCAUACUUGGAGGCCAUUAUUUUGCCCACCACAGGUGAAAAAGGAAGUGUUAUUCUUAAAUCAUUUGGAAGGAUCUCUGUGUAAAUGCAAGAGCGAGACAAGAAAAUGCUGUCAUUCUUUUGAUAUGGACUCGAAUUUCCACUUCAUGGUUGUCUGCUUCCUUUUUAGAGUAUUAUUUAUCCUCCUAAUAAAAAGAAAGUGAAAUUUCCC
rnacentral:lncRNA from 1 species